GGUAACUGAAUUCACCCGGUCUCCCUUCCUGCUGUCCAGGAGCUUCAGAUUUGGCUAUGUGUCCUUCUCUGGCUGGUUCAUAUGCUCACCAUAACAGGAAACCUUUUCGUCAUUUUCUUAACGUGGACAGAUAAUUGUCUCCAAACCCCAAUGGACUUGUUCCUUAGAAAAAAGUCAUAUCGUUCUCUGGCUGCAUCACCCAAAUAUAUUUCUACUUCUUUCUAGGGACAGUGGCGUUUAUCCCCUUGGCAGUGACAUCCUUCAAACACUGCAUGGCAACCUGUGACCCCCUGUGCAGCACCAUCAUUGCAAAAAGCAGGGCCUGCCUCCUGCUGGCUCUGGGAUGCUGGAUGGGAACCUUCCUGGCUGUGUUGCGCCUGACUAUUGUGGUGUCCAGGUUGCCAGACUGUACUGAAAAAAUUAGUCCCUUCUUCUGUGACAUUGCCUCUUUACUGCAGGUGGCCUGUAUUGAUAUUCAUUUCAUUGAGAUGAUAAGCUUCCUUUGAUCAUCUCUUAUGGUCCUGACCUCGCUGGUGCUUAAUGCCACAUCCUACGCCUACAUCAUUUCUCCCUCCUGUGCAUCCCCUCAGCCCAAGGAUGUCAGGAGGCCUUUUCCACCUGUGCUUCACACAUCACCAUCAUCUUUAUUGCCUGCCGAAACUCCAUCUCCACGUGUGUGAGGCCUAACCCGAGGUAUUAG
rnacentral:lncRNA from 1 species